rnacentral:rRNA from 1 species
AUGGGGCUGAGGGAGAUAGAGUCGACAUUGCCGCCGGGGUUCAGGUUCUACCCCAGCGACCAGGAGCUCGUCUGCCACUACCUCUACAAGAAGGUGACCAACGAGCGCGCCUCGCAGGGCACGCUCGUCGAGGUCGACCUCCACGCGCGCGAGCCAUGGGAGCUUCCUGACGUGGCGAAGCUCACGGCCAGCGAGUGGUACUUCUUCAGCUUCAGGGACCGCAAGUAUGCGACGGGGUCGCGCACCAACCGCGCCACCAAGACCGGCUACUGGAAGGCCACCGGGAAGGACCGCGAGGUGCGCAGCCCGGCCACGCGCGCCGUCGUCGGCAUGAGGAAGACGCUGGUCUUCUACCAGGGCCGCGCCCCCAACGGCAGCAAGACCAGCUGGGUCAUGCACGAGUUCCGCCUCGACUCACCGCACCUGCCACCAAGGGUACGUACGCACCAACUACUCCUAUAUGUCACUUGUAUUCCACUCUUCGGGUUAGCUCCUCUCUUUGCAAUUGCAUGGGUCGGCGUUGCUAAUCUGGACGCAAUUCUGCAGGAGGACUGGGUGCUCUGCAGGGUGUUCCAGAAGCAGAAACUGGACGGCGAGCAAGACAACGCCCGCUCCUCCUCGCCGCCCUUCGCCGGCUCGUCGCAGGCGGCGCAGGAGCUGCCCGUCAUGGACGCGAGCAGCGACCAGAUGAUGGGUUCGGGCUCUGCCGGCUUCGCGGCGUCACGGCAGGAGGAGAUGAUCUGUGGCCCCAACCCGUUGAUGAACGCGGCGAUGUGGCAGCAAUACAACUCGCUGCUUCUUGGCCAGUACCCGCAGGAAGAGAUGGCGGGCAGCUCGCCGAUGAUGGCCACAGGAGGAGCGGGAGAUGAGUGCGGAUUCUUCUUCGACUCGGGGUUCGAGGACACGGCUUCCCUUGGGGCCAUGCGGUUCCCCCAAGCGUGGAGCUGA